rnacentral:rRNA from 1 species
GAUGAACGCUGGCGGCGUGCCUAAUACAUGCAAGUCGAGCGAACAGACGAGGAGCUUGCUCCUCUGACGUUAGCGGCGGACGGGUGAGUAACACGUGGAUAACCUACCUAUAAGACUGGGAUAACUUCGGGAAACCGGAGCUAAUACCGGAUAAUAUAUUGAACCGCAUGGUUCAAUAGUGAAAUACGGUUUUGCUGUCACUUAUAGAUGGAUCCGCGCCGCAUUAGCUAGUUGGUAAGGUAACGGCUUACCAAGGCAACGAUGCGUAGCCGACCUGAGAGGGUGAUCGGCCACACUGGAACUGAGACACGGUCCAGACUCCUAAGGGAGGCAGCAGUAGGGAAUCUUCCGCAAUGGGCGAAAGCCUGACGGAGCAACGCCGCGUGAGUGAUGAAGGUCUUCGGAUCGUAAAACUCUGUUAUUAGGGAAGAACAAAUGUGUAAGUAACUAUGCACGUCUUGACGGUACCUAAUCAGAAAGCCACGGCUAACUACGUG